GGGCUCCGGGCGGCCGUGACCCUGCUGGAGUGCGGGGGGGACCUCCAGCCCCCCGGGGGGUCCCUGACUCUGCUCUGCCGCGGGUCUGGGUUCAGUUUCGAGAGUUUUGACAUGUACUGGGUCCGGCAAAGACCUGGGAAGGCGCUGGAAUUCGUCGCAUGGAUCAACUACAGUGGUGGCUACACCAACUACGCACCGUCGGUCAAGGGCCGGUUCUCAAUCUCCAGGGACAACGGGCAGAGCUCGGUGACGCUGACCAUGAACAGCCUCAAGGACGAGGAUUCCGCCGUUUAUUUCUGUGCCACGGGUGCUUUUUCUGGCGCGACUUCUUAUUACGCUGGUGUUCGUUAUGUUGAUUAUUUUGGCCUCAUCCCAAUCGAGAACCGGCCCUUGACUGACGGCGCGUACUCGGUGUAG